rnacentral:rRNA from 1 species
GACGAACCGAGCGAACGUUGUUCGGAAUCACUGGGCUUAAAGGGCGCGUAGGCGGGCUGCCAAGUUUGGGGUGAAAUACCUCCGGCUCAACCGGAGCAGUGCCUCGAAUACUGGCGGUCUCGAGGGAGGUAGGGGCGUGCGGAACUGUGGGUGGAGCGGUGAAAUGCGUUGAUAUCCACAGGAACUCCGGUGGCGAAGGCGGCACGCUGGACCUUUUCUGACGCUGAGGCGCGAAAGCCAGGGGAGCGAACGGG